CAGUAGCCGCGGUAAUACGUAGGUGGCAAGCGUUGUCCGGAAUUAUUGGGCGUAAAGCGCGCGCAGGUGGUUUAAUAAGUCUGAUGUGAAAGCCCACGGCUCAACCGUGGAGGGUCAUUGGAAACUGUUAAACUUGAGUGCAGGAGAGAAAAGUGGAAUUCCUAGUGUAGCGGUGAAAUGCGUAGAGAUUAGGAGGAACACCAGUGGCGAAGGCGGCUUUUUGGCCUGUAACUGACACUGAGGCGCGAAAGCGUGGGGAGCAAACAGGAUUAGAUACCCGCGUAGUCCCUGUCUCUUAUAC
rnacentral:rRNA from 1 species